rnacentral:rRNA from 1 species
AACGAACGCUGGCGGCAUGCCUAACACAUGCAAGUCGAACGAGACCUUCGGGUCUAGUGGCGCACGGGUGCGUAACGCGUGGGAACCUGCCCUUAGGUUCGGAAUAACUCCCCGAAAGGGGUGCUAAUACCGGAUAAUGUCUUCGGACCAAAGAGUUAUCGCCUUUGGAUGGGCCCGCGUUGGAUUAGCUAGUUGGUAGGGUAAAAGCCUACCAAGGCGACGAUCCAUAGCUGGUCUGAGAGGAUGAUCAGCCACACUGGGACUGAGACACGGCCCAGACUCCUACGGGAGGCAGCAGUGGGGAAUAUUGGAAAAUGGGCGAAAGCCUGAUCCAGCAAUGCCGCGUGAGUGAUGAAGGCCUUAGGGUUGUAAAGCUCUUUUACCCGGGAUGAUAAUGACAGUACCGGGAGAAUAAGCUCCGGCCAACUCCGUG